rnacentral:rRNA from 1 species
GAAGCGACGGCAGGAAGAAGGUCAGUCUGAAGGGCUUACCUGACGAGCCGAGAGGUAGUGCAUGGCCGCCGUCAGCUCGUGCCGUAAGGUGUCCAGUUAAGUCUGGCAACGAGCGAGACCUAUACCUGCUAUUGCUAACGGCUAUUUAUAGGACCGAGCACUUUGCAGGGACUGCCUUGGAAACAAGGAGGAAGGUGUAGGCAACGGUAG